rnacentral:lncRNA from 1 species
UGUUGUCAGCUUGACAGUUGAACACAUUCCUGAUCUUCCCCACGAUCAUGAGAGCUAGAGUGGUCUUCCCUGAUCCAGGGGUCUGAACCCAAACAAGAUGAUCACAAGAGAUUGCAACAGAGCUUCCACCUGCUGUGUGGUUAUGAAGUUAUAGGAUUCGGGGUACACUGGCAUUUCUAAGUCAUUCCUUACUCUUUGGUGAGAACCCAGUGGAUUGGAACGUUGUUCGGGGAAAUCAGAAGAGCGUCACAGAUGACAUCUUGCCUCCUCUGAAGACCUAGAUCUACAGCCCAGCUGUGGGAGAAGAUCAAUAUCCCUUGAGAGAAACAGCGCAUUUCCAUAUUUAUUAAGUUUCUUAGUCCUCUGUAAUCUGCGAAGAGGUCCUUGUAGACGCUCUCUGGAGUAUAUGUAAUCCUGUUGGGUGACACUAGACAAGGAAAGAAUCGGAAUGAAUCAGAGACAAGCUAAUAAGGGACCUGCUAGGCUACUAGUCCUUCCUCGUCUCUUCUAUAAUGAGCCAUGACAGCUAUGCACGUCCAGAGCUUCCAGCAUCUGCUUCUACUAGCACAUGCAGAGAGCGCACCGCAAAAUGAGGUCAACUGGGAGGAAUGCAGAGACCAGAUGUGGAACUAAGAGGAAGAAAAACACACAGACACAGAAUAAGACUGUCAGGAUCUCCAGCAGCUCGCUCUCCACCAGCUUCCUCGCCAGCUCAGCAUCCGCUGAUAGCAGGUUGUGGGCAAUGACCAGGCCCCGGUGCUGCACGGACAACUGGUCAUGCAGGCAAAGCCGCUGUAGGAUCUCCAGCCACUGGGUUGUCUGCAGAGUGGAAGCUGAAGAAUCAGUGAGGAGGCAGAGGAAAGACUUUUCUUAAGAAAAACAAAAAGUAUCAGCCAUGCCCACAGCUAAGUAACUUGAUUAUGACCACAUAUCUAUAAACAGUAAUAGACUAAACUAAAAUAGACUAA